rnacentral:rRNA from 1 species
CCAAUAGCGUAUAUUAAAGUUGUUGCAGUUAAAAAGCUCGUAGUUGAACUUCGGGAUCAAUGGAUCGGUCAUGCCAUCGGUAUGUACUGGUCUCAUUGGUUCUCACCUUCUAAGGAACCUUAAUGUCAUUCAUUUGAUGUUUUGGGGAAUUAGGACUGUUACCUUGAAAAAAUUAGAGUGUUUAAAGCAGGCUAACGCUUGAAUACAUUAGCAUGGAAUAAUGAAAUAGGACAUCGCAUUCUAUUUUGUUGGUUUCUAGGAUCGAUGUAAUGAUUAAUAGGGAUAGUUGGGGGCAUUAGUAUUCAAUUGUCAGAGGUGAAAUUCUUGGAUUUAUUGAAGACUAACUACUGCGAAAGCAUUUGCCAAGGAUGUUUUCAUUAAUCAAGAACGAAAGUUAGGGGAUCGAAGACGAUCAGAUACCGUCGUAGUCUUAACCAUAAACUAUGCCGACUAGGGAUCGGAUGAUGUUGAUUUUUUAAUGACUCAUUCGGCACCUUACG